ACUUUUGUGUGCCGCCAAAUUUUAAAAGUGUGCCGCCAAAUUUUGCAAAUAUUUAAAAUUUUUGUCAUAAACUAUUUAUGCAGUGUGUGUGUGUGUGUGUGUGUAGCUGCGGCGUGCUUCUUCAGCAUGAGGUGUGUGGCAUCGCCGCCGUCGUCCAGGAUCAUGUUGGGCUGCCAGCCCGCCGCCGGCGUACAGCACUGGUCUAUGCACCACCAGAACGCCUCCUCGCUCUCGCCGCGCCACGCGAAGAUCGCGAAGCCUGUCCGGGUCAUUUAAGAAAAAAAUUCUUAUAACAAAUGACCUGCAUGUGCCAGUGCGGCCGCCACCUCGUUCUGCGUGCUGUAGAUGUUGCACGCCGCCCAGCGGACCGUAGCGCCGAGGGCCGCCAGCGUCUCUAUCAAUACGGCCGUCUGUGCGUUUAUAUGUGUGCAUCCUAC